rnacentral:rRNA from 1 species
AAUAGAUACCCGGGUAGUCCACGCCGUAAACGAUGGAUGCUAGCUGUUAGGAGUAUCGACCCUCCUAGUAGCGUAGCUAACGCGUUAAGCAUCCCGCCUGUGGAGUACGGUCGCAAGACUAAAACAUAAAGGAAUUGACGGGGACCCGCACAAGCGGUGGAGCGUGUUGUUUAAUUCGAUGGUAAGCGAAGAACCUUACCCAGGCUUGACAUCCCACUAAGGACUCCGAAAGGAGACUGUGUCUUCGGACCGUGGUGACAGGUGUUGCAUGGCCGUCGUCAGCUCGUGUCGUGAGAUGUUUGGUUAAGUCCAUCAACGAGCGCAACCCUUAUAGUUAGUUGUAUUUUUCUAGCUAGACUGCCCUGGCAACAGGGAGGAAGGAGGGGAUGAUGUCAGGUCAGUAUUACCCUUACGCCUGGGGCUACAAACACGCUACAAUGGCCGGUACAAAGGGCAGCCAACCCGCGAGGGGGAGCAAAUCCCAUCAAAGCCGGUCUCAGUUCGGAUUGCAGGCUGAAACUCGCCUGCAUGAAG